ensembl:snRNA U6 U6 spliceosomal RNA
GUCCUUGAUGAGCAGCACAUAUAAUAAAAAUUGGAAUAAUACAGAGAAUAGCAUGUCACCUUCUCAAGGCUGGCAUGCAAAGUCACAAAGCAUUAAAAAAAAAAU